rnacentral:lncRNA from 1 species
AUGCACCCAGGGGGAGACCCCAGGAUCCCGUUUGGGAAACCCUGUGUUAGACAACCAACCAUUUGUAUGUUAGAUCAAUAUUUUACCUGUUCUACCAUCCUGCAACACCCUGUUACUGUCAAACUUCCUGCCACUCAUUGCUUUUUACCCCUUCUCCCCCUCACUCACUCACUCACUCACACACACACACACACACACACACACACACACACACACACACACACACACACACACACACACACACACACACACACACACACACACACACACACACACACACACACACACACACACGCAGACACACACACACACACACAGACACAUACACACACACAGACACAUACACAUACACACACACACACACACACAGACACACACACACACACAGACAUACACACACACACAGACACACACACACACAGACACACACACACACACACAGACACACACACACACACACACACGCAGACACACACACACACACACACAGACACAUACACACACACAGACACAUACACAUACACACACACACACACACACACACAGACACACACACACACACAGACACACACAGACACACACAGACACACACACACACAGACACACACACACACAGACACACACACACACAGCCACACACAGACACACACACACAGACACACACACACAGACACACACACACACACAGACACACACACACAGACACACACACACGCAGACACACACAGACACAGACACACACACACACACAGACACAUACACACACACAGACACAUUCACACACACACAGACACACACACACAGAAACACACACACACAUCAACAACACACACAGACACACACACACAGACACACACACACACACAGACACACACACACACACAGACACACACACACAGACACACACACACACACAUUCACACACACACAGACACACACACACAGACACACACACACACACACACACACAGACAGACACACACACACAGACACACACACACACACAGACACACACACACAAACCACAGACCUAUUCGCCCUUUUAGCCCUUUCAGCCCCUAUCCCUCCAGACCUCCUAUCCCUCCAGACCCCCUAUCCCUCCAGACCCACUAUCCCUCCAGACCUCCUAUCCCUCCAGACCCCCUAUCCCUCCAGACCCACUAUCCCUCCAGACCCACUAUCCCUCCAGACCUCCUAUCCCUCCAGACCUCAUAUCCCUCCAGACCCCCUAUCCCUCCAGACCUCUUAUCCCUCCAGACCUCCUAUCCCUCCAGACCUCCUAUCCCUCCAGACCCACUAUCCCUCCAGACCUCCUAUCCCUCCAGACCCCCUAUCCCUCCAGACCUCUUAUCCCUCGAGACCCCCUAUCCCUCCAGACCCACUAUCCCUCCAGACCCCCUAUCCCUCCAGACCCCCUAUCCCUCCAGACCCCCUAUCCCUCCAGACCCCCUUUCCCUCCAGACCCCCUUUCCCUCCAGACCCCCUAUCCCUCCAGACCUCCUAUCCUCCAGACCUCCUAUCCCUCAAGACCCCCAAACCCUCCAGACCCUCCUAUCCUUCCAGACCUCCUAUCCCUCCAGAACUCCUAUCCCUCCAGACCUCCUAUCCCUCCUAUCCCUCCAGACCCCCUAUCCCUCCAGACCUCCUAUCCUCCAGACAUCCUAUCCCUCAAGACCCCCUAUCCCUCCAGACCUCCUAUCCCUCCAGACCUCCUAUCCCUCAAGACCCCCUAUCCCGCCAGACCUCCUAUCCCUCCAGACCUCUUAUCCCUCCUAUCGCUCCAGACCCAACUAUCCCUCCAGACCUCCAGACCCCCUAUCCCUCCAGACCCUCCUAUCCCUCCAAACCUCCUAUCCUUCCAGACCUCCUUUCCCUCCUAUCCCUCCAGACCCCCUAUCCCUCCAGACCCACUAUCCCUCCAGACCCCCUAUCCCUCCAGACCCCCUAUCCCUCCAGACCCCUAUCCCUCCAGACCUCCUAGCCCUCCAGACCUCCUAUCCCUCCAGACCUCCUAUCCCUUCAGACCCCCUUUCCCUCCAGACCCGCUAUCCCUCCAGACCUCCUAUCCUCCAGACCUCCUAUCCCUCAAGACCCCCAAACCCUCCAGACCUCCUAUCCUUCCAGACCUCCUAUCCCUCCAGAACUCCUAUCCCUCCAGACCUCCUAUCCCUCCUAUCCCUCCAGACCCCCUAUCCCUCCAGACCUCCUACCCUCAAGACCCCCUAUCCCUCCAGACCUCCUAUCCCUCCAGACCUCCUAUCCCUCAAGACCCCCUAUCCCGCCAGACCUCCUAUCCCUCCAGACCUCUUAUCCCUCCUAUCCCUCCAGACCCCCUAUCCCUCCAGACCUCCUAUCCUCCAGACAUCCUAUCCCUCAAGACCCCCUAUCCCUCCAGACCUCCUAUCCCUCCAGACCUCCUAUCCCUCAAGACCCCCUAUCCCGCCAGACCUCCUAUCCCUCCAGACCUCUUAUCCCUCCUAUCGCUCCAGACCCAACUAUCCCUCCAGACCUCCAGACCCCCUAUCCCUCCAGACCUCCUAUCCCUCCAAACCUCCUAUCCUUCCAGACCUCCUUUCCCUCCUAUCCCUCCAGACCCCCUAUCCCUCCAGACCCACUAUCCCUCCAGACCCCCUAUCCCUCCAGACCCCCUAUCCCUCCAGACCCCCUAUCCCUCCAGACCUCUUAGCCCUCCAGACCUCCUAUCCCUCCAGACCUCCUAUCCCUUCAGACCCCCUUUCCCUCCAGACCCGCUAUCCCUCCAGACCUCCUAUCCUCCAGACCUCCUAUCCCUCAAGACCCCCAAACCCUCCAGACCUCCUAUCCUUCCAGACCUCCUAUCCCUCCAGAACUCCUAUCCCUCCAGACCUCCUAUCCCUCCUAUCCCUCCAGACCCCCUAUCCCUCCAGACCUCCUACCCUCAAGACCCCCUAUCCCUCCAGACCUCCUAUCCCUCCAGACCUCCUAUCCCUCAAGACCCCCUAUCCCGCCAGACCUCCUAUCCCUCCAGACCUCUUAUCCCUCCUAUCGCUCCAGACCCAACUAUCCCUCCAGACCUCCAGACCCCCUAUCCCUCCAGACCUCCUAUCCCUCCAAACCUCCUAUCCUUCCAGACCUCCUUUCCCUCCUUUCCCUCCAGACCCCCUAUCCCUCCAGAUCUCCUAUCCCUCCAGACCCCCUAUCCCUCCAGACCUCCUAUCCCUCCAGACCUCCUAUCCCUCCAGACCUCCUAUCCCUCUAUCCCUCCAGACCUCCUAUCCCCCUAACCCUCCAGACACACUAUCCCUCCAGACCUCCUAUCCCUCUAUCCCUCCAGACCCCCUAUCCCUCCAGACCCCCUAUCCCUCCAGACCUCCUAUCCCUCCAGACCUCCUAUCCCUCUAUCUCUCCAGACACGCUAUCCCUCCAGACCUCCUAACCACAUAG